rnacentral:lncRNA from 1 species
UUUUAUCCCAAAAAGACACACUUUCUACUUUUAGGUUCAAUUUUUGUCCUAUGCGUUUAAAGUGUAUGUGUUGUCAUACCCCAAUUUUACACGGAUUUGUAUUAUUAUAUGAGUUUUAAUCGCAUUUUAUCUUGAAUGAAUGAUAUAGCACAUUUGGUAGUGAAGAAAGAAUGUAAGGAUUUCAAAUGAAAGGUUAUGGGUUAGAACUAGGGGUGGCAAAACGGAUCUGGC